rnacentral:rRNA from 1 species
CCCUUAGAUGUUCUGGGCUGCACGCGCGCUACACUGAAGCUAUCAACACGUUUUCCCUCCCUGAGAAGGGCGGGUAACCUUUUGAAUCCGCUUCGUGGUAGGGAUCGGGGCUUGCAAUUGUUCCCCGUGAACCAGGAAUUCCUAGUAGACGCGAGUCAUAAGCUCGCAUCGAUUAAGUCCCUGCCCUUUGUACACACCGCCCGUCGCUACUACCGAUUGAACGUUUUAGUGAGGCAUUUGGACCGACGCAUCUCAGUUUAACCGCUGGUUUGUGUUGGAAAGACUUCCAAACUUGAGCGUUUAGAGGAAGUAAAAGUCGUAACA